rnacentral:rRNA from 1 species
CCGCCGGCGACCGGCGCACGGGUGAGUAACACGUAUGCAACCUGGCCGUGACAGAUGGAUAACCGGGAGAAAUCCCGCCUAAUACAACAUAAUGCCGGGAGGGGACAUCCCCUGCCGGCCAAAGGGGGCGACCCCGGUCACGGAUGGGCAUGCGGCGCAUUAGGUAGUUGGUGGGGCAACGGCCCACCAAGGCGACGAUGCGUAGGGGUUCUGAGAGGAAGGUCCCCCACACUGGUACUGAGACACGGACCAGACUCCUACGGAAGGCAGCAG